UCAUCUACUGGGGCAUGUUAUUUGGCUACUGGGGGCUAAUAUCUUGAAACUGUGGAUGCUAUUUGGCACAUGGGGGAUGUUAUUUGUCUUUUGUGAGAUGCUAUUACGCUACUGGGACAUUAUUUGGCUAUUGGGGGCAAAUAUUUUGAAACUGUGGAUGCUAUAAGGCUACUGGGGAAUGCUAUAAGGCUACUGGGGAAUGCUAUAAGGCUAGCGUGGGCCGGAUGACAGUCAUUAGGAUCUAAUCUGCCGUCUGAUUUUGUGUGGGUCAUUCACAAUGUAGUCUGGUCUGUGUAUGUUGCAAAAGUCAAAUUGCAAUAGGGGGUAGAUAUAAUUUUAAGGAACAGAGGAUAAAUUUUGUGUUUUGACUAAUCCCUGUUUUAACCCUUGUUGCAUCUUGUGCCAAUGUGUAUGUUUAAAUAUGUCUAUAAGCUCUUGUCUAUAAUGGUUCUGUAACGUUUUCAGAUGUCUUCGCCUUCUCCUUCGGUUGGCAGUCGAAGUACUCCAUCCUUUCACAUGCAGGGACACUCCGACACUGAAUCCUCUGCUGGCGAGGAAUUGCGUUUUUCUCCUGAACCAAUGGAGUCAACACAGGAGGGUACACAUUCCAUUGAAAAUCUGCGAAGUAGACGUCAUAACGACGAGGAUGACACAAACAGGCAAAGUGAAAAUCCAUCACCAGUUCAAAAAAGAACUUCCAGGCGUGGUGGUCGCGGACAACGUGGUCGUGGCAGUCGUCGUGGACGUGUAGGCCGUGUGAGUAGGCACAUGUGCUGUGAUGUGAGCUGUCCACACUGCCCCCAGUAUACAGUAUCUUAUAUCACCUAUAAGAUAACGUGGCCAUCAUACCUCAAAUUUUUUUAAUUAUUAGAACAAAUGACCGUGAG